CCUACGGGAGGCAGCAGUGAGGAAUAUUGGUCAAUGGUCGGGAGCCUGAACCAGCCAAGCCGCGUGAGGGAAGAAGGUACAGCGUAUCGUAAACCUCUUUUGUCAGGGAACAAAGGCGGGGACUAGUCCCCGGAUGAGGGUACCUGAAGAAAAAGCAUCGGCUAACUCCGUGCCAGCAGCCGCGGUAAUACGGAGGAUGCGAGCGUUAUCCGGAUUUAUUGGGUUUAAAGGGUGCGCAGGCGGCCUGUUAAGUCAGCGGUAAAAGCCCGGGGCUCACCCCCGGCGAGCCGUUGAAACUGGCAGUCUCGAGUUGGAGAGAAGUACGCGGAAUGCGCUGUGUAGCGGUGAAAUGCUUAGAUAUCGCGCAGAACCCCGAUUGCGAAGGCAGCGUUCCGGCUCCACACUGACGCUGAGGCACGAAAGCGUGGGUAUCGAACAGGAUUAGAUACCCUUGUAGUC
rnacentral:rRNA from 1 species